rnacentral:lncRNA from 1 species
UUUUUUUCAAUUUGUUGAAUUAGAUAUAAAUAUAUCAGUUAUUAAAUUUUCUUACGUUUGUCAGAUAGUUUAAUAGAAAAUGAAUGAAAAGAUCGUAUGAUUGUAUUUUUUUUUAGAUCAUGUCAAAUGCUUAGCAUUCAGUGGCGUAGCUAGGUCAUUUUUACGUGUACGCCCGAACCUCGGUGCGGGGCCUGAAGGCCCAAGCGGGUCCAGGCCAAAUAACCUGCUGGUAGUGGAUUAGCAGAGGCGAAGCCUCCGGAAGUUUAAGAGUUAUCGAGAAUGACAUAGAAUUCCUCUCAUUGAAAACUGAUCAAUAACAACAUUCUUUAGAUUCAAAAUGUUUUUUUUUCUUUAUGUUUAAUCUAUUCAUUGUGUUUAUUUAGAAUCUAAUGACUCUCAUUGGCUUAACUUGGAGUAAACGUCCAAACCAGUUACUUUAAAAUACGAUGAAAGGGAACCGUGGGGUAAAGCACUCAAUUCACAAAGCACAUUUUUAUGUGCAAAUGUCGUAAUAAACACGAAAUAAUUAAUUUUCUGAGUUGUUCAGGUGCAAUACUAAAAAGAGAAGGCCCAGUAACGUUAGACCCCUUUUUGGCCCCAAAAUAUAGCAGUUUUACAAAAUUGUUAAAAUAUAUUUUUUUUAGCUGUUUAAUGGAAAGUACAUUUGUAGAAUAAUUCUGUUACAUAAAUAUUGGCUGUUUUUGACAAUACAAUGCACAUGUAUCGGGUAUUAGCAUAAUAAAGUCAUGGCGCUAAAUUACCAAAUCUUUGAAAUGGAAGUGACCG